UACGGAGGGUGCAAAUGUUGCUCGGAAUCAUUGGGCGUAAAGCGCACGUAGGUGGCUUGUUAAGUCGGGUGUGAAAUCCCUGGGCUCAACCCAGGAAGUGCACUCGAAACUGGCGAGCUUGAGUACUGAAGAGGGUCGCGGAAUUCCCGGUGUAGAGGUGAAAUUCGUAGAUAUCGGGAGGAACACCAGUGGCGAAGGCGGCGACCUGGGCAGAUACUGACACUGAGGUGCGAAAGCGUGGGGAGCAAACAGG
rnacentral:rRNA from 1 species